rnacentral:sRNA from 1 species
GAAUGCUGACUGCUCAAUCUCCUGAGCCAAAUCUUCUGAGUGUUCGCACAGCCAACUCGUUGGAGCCGAAUCUUUUGAGCGUGAAACCGGCAAAGGAAUUGACAACAAUCAGUAACUUGAAAGCUCAGUCUCCAGG